AGGAAUAUAGCCAAACGGUAAGGCAACGGGCUUUGGUCUCGCAAUUUGUUGGUUCGAAUCCAGCUAUUCCUA
rnacentral:tRNA from 1 species